GACGAACGCUGGCGGCGUGCUUAACACAUGCAAGUCGAGCGGAAAGGCCACUUCGGUGGUACUCGAGCGGCGAACGGGUGAGUAACACGUGAGUAAUCUGCCCUUGGCUUUGGGAUAGCCACCGGAAACGGUGAUUAAUACCGGAUAUGCACUACUUCUCGCAUGGGUUGUGGUGGAAAGUUUUUCGGCCAGGGAUGUGCUCGCGGCCUAUCAGCUUGAUGGUGAGGUAAUGGCUCACCAUGGCUUCGACGGGUAGCCGGCCUGAGAGGGUGACCGGUCACACUGGGACUGAGACACGGCCCAGACUCCUACGGGAGGCAGCAGUGGGGAAUAUUGGACAAUGGGCGGAAGCCUGAUCCAGCAACGCCGCGUGAGGGAUGACGGCCUUCGGGUUGUAAACCUCUUUCGGUAGGGACGAAGCGCAAGUGACGGUACCUACUAAAGAAGCACCGGCCAACUACGUGCCAGCAGCCGCCGUAAGAC
rnacentral:rRNA from 1 species